rnacentral:lncRNA from 1 species
GGGACUAUUGCUCCCUAGAAACUCAUAUUUUUAUCCCUUUUUAAAAAAAAUAAAAAAAAAAAUCAAAGAAGACUUUCAUUAGAUAAACUUCAAUAAUACAUACUAAACCCAAAAGGGCAUUGAAAUGAACAAACUAAAAAAGCAAAACUAAAGCGGACAAACUUCGCAGCAACAACUACUAUAGCACACAUCACCACCAUAUGCUUUUUGUCUACCUACAUUUUCUAUUUU